AAGACUAUACUUUCAGGGAUCUUUUCUAAAGUUUCUGGACUUUGAGAAAUGUGUUUCUAAAGUGUUUUGUCUCGCUAACCACGAUGAUGAGUUGUGAUAUUUCCUUCUGAGCAUGAAGCUGGCAGAGAAUAAUGAUUUACUUCAUAUGUUUUCUGUCAUUGAUGACUGUUCAUUGCUCUCUGUGUAGCAUUGAUGGAAGGGAAUAUGAUUAGAGUGGU